rnacentral:tRNA from 1 species
ACUUUUAUAAUUUAUUUGUAGAAUAUCGCGUUGAAGUUGCGAAAGAGAUGAUUACAUCUAAAAGUG